rnacentral:rRNA from 1 species
UACGUAGGGAGCGAGCGUUAUCCGGAUUUAUUGGGUGUAAAGGGUGCGUAGGCGGUUUGAUAGGUCUAAGGUUUAAGCCCGAAGCUUAACUUCGGUUCGCCUUAGAAACCGUUUGACUUGAGUAUGGUAGAGGCAAGUGGAAUUUCUAGUGUAGCGGUAAAAUGCGUAGAUAUUAGAAGGAACACCAGUGGCGAAGGCGACUUGCUGGGCCAUUACUGACGCUGAGGCACGAAAGCGUGGGGAGC